ACUUGGUGGGAACCAAUGCAUGAUCUUGCACUGGUUUGAUGGCCACAUCAAACAGAGCACUGUAGUGCGUUUGGUGGAAGCAAUACAUGAUCUGAGAAAAAAAAAUGAAGUGGUGCAUAUUGUGCUGAAUCAACAUGGCAGUUUACCAGACCUUUUGAUGCUCCGCACAUAUGUUCUUUGUAUCAUGCAAGUAUGUGGUAUUGUAUGACUGUAGAAAUUCUGAAAAAUUGUAGCCCUUCUCAAUAUUGUAACCUCUGUUGCUGUGGUAGACAACUUGUGAGUGUAAGAAGUUGUAAGAACCUAUAUAUGAAUAAGAUAUUUUGUUUUUUUAAAUAUGUAAGGGUGCAGCAAAGUAUUAUCGGAAUUUUGUUUGUGUACUGCUGGUGAAUA